GCAAGUUGAAUGGUGUACUUGUACACCAUGGCAAACGGGAGAGUAACACAUUGGUAAUUUACCCUGAGGACGAGAAUAACCCUGCGAAAGCGGGAAUAAUUCUCGAUGGUAUUCUGAAAAGAUAACUUUUUAGAAUUAAAGCCCCGACGCCUCGGGAGAAGCCUAUGGUCUAUCAGCUUGUUGGUAAGGUAAAAGCUUACCAAGGCUACGACGGAUAGCGGGUGUGAGAGCAUGACC
rnacentral:rRNA from 1 species